rnacentral:lncRNA from 1 species
UUUAAGUAUUUUACUAUAAGUAAUUUUGUUCUCAACAAAAUUAGAGAAGUUGUUAUAAUCAACACAGCUCGUAUGAUCAAUUAAAUACAUAUGUUUCUUCAUGAUGUUAGCUUGUCCUCCAAUCUUGUUAUUGUAGGAGUUCAAGCUAAAAUUGAUUUGCUCUCAAAUUCAAGGAGAAUUUUUAAAAAAAAUUAAAAGGAAAAGCCGCCCUGUUAUAUACGAAGGAGUAG